CGAGAGAGAAGCUGGAAAUCAGGUCGAGAAGACCAGAUGCGCCAGGAUUUCAAACACAAGACGCACCCGCGGAUGUUCAAGAUUCCCAGAGCCAGGCUGCUCCGUGGAUUAUUACACCUGAAUUUCUGAGUUGGAAGGGCCCCACGUGUUUCCAAGCACAGCCCCGAAGCCGGGCACCCUGGAGUUAGAGAACAAAGAGGAGGCGGGUGCGGGAGGCCGUGCGGGGGAGGGAGCUAGUCCUGCCGGUGCAGCCUGCCGCGCUGGCCUCGGAGGCUGAGCCCGCCCGCCCCGUCUAACGCUUCCAUCUGGGAUCAAGGUUAUCAGCUUCCCAGGUCCCGUGGCGGUAACCCAAGAUGUUUUGAAGGCUGCAAAACGAUGACAGACACUUAAUGCAUUCUCUCUCAGAAGAACGAGGAGAACUUCGUUGGAGUAACUUUCACCUUCUUCGUUGGAGGGCAGAGAAUCGGCGAAGCGCUUCAGGAAGCCCCCGUACCUCUUCUGGUAGUCCAUCCACCACUCCGGGCGGCCCACUCUUCUCAUGAAGCCCCCGUAGCGCUUCUGCAGCUCCCUGGCUUCGUCUUCCAGCUGGGGGCUCCUCUUCAGGCCUCUCAUGAAGCCCCCAUAUCUCUUGCUCACUUCUUCAUCCCCGGCCUCUUGGUGGGGGCUGCCCUCUCGGUUGUCCCCUGUGCCCAGCAGCUCUUUCAGGGGGUCUAAGGAAUUGCCCAGAGUGCCACCCUCGCCUGCAUCCUUCUUCAUGAAGCCUCCAUACCUUUUGGCAAGGGUCUCACCUCCCUCGGCCUCCUCUUCUGGCUCCAGAGGAGAAAGCUCAUCGGUUUUCUUCAUGAAGCCUCCAUACCUUUUCAUGAAGCCCCCGUACUUCUUGGCCAGCACAUGGCUCUCCUCGGGCCGGCUGCUUUCUCUGAGGGCGCUGGUGCCCUCUGGAGGGAGCUCCAGCGUGGACAGCUGCAGCAGCUCCUUGCAGGCGUCCCAGGUUUUGAGAGAAGGCAGCUUCCCUUCACACUCCAGGGUGCAAGCCUGGGGAGGAGAAUUCGAUUUGAGAAUAAAAAGAGGCUUUUCUGAUUUUGUGAAGUGAACAGAUUGGUGUGGACCACAACGUAUUUACUUCAAGAUGAGCACUCCCAUAAUAAUCUCCAUUUUCUUAUUAAAACUUUUCAUCACACUCAAUAGGCAAAUCAAAGGGAAAUGGAUUUAGAAAAAUUGUGGAGAAUGAAUUGAAACAAAUGAGAAAUUUUCUUUGAAUUUUAUCAGGAUAUAUAUAUCGGGCCACUUCAAUACCGUAAAAGGUUUUUUUCACCCAAUUUUAACCUAGAUUGACUGCCUGCACAAUCUAAUUUCACGGGAUAAAUUUUCACUGUUGAUUUCAUUUCAUUUGAGCUUUUUCUAAUCAAAAGGGAGAAAUUUCUGUUUACCUAAUUAGGGACAUUAUCCGAAAAUUCCUUUUAUCUUCUUGUCGUACACAAAAUAAAUACCAAUGACAUGA